AACGAACGUUAGCGGCGCGCCUAACACAUGCAAGUCGUGCGAGAAAGGGCUUCGGCCCCGGUAAAGCGGCGCACGGGUGAGUAACACGUAGGUAAUCUACCCUCGAGCGGGGGAUAACCCUCCGAAAGGAGGACUAAUACCGCAUAAGACCACGGCUCUUCGGUGCCGUGGCCAAAGCGGGCCUCUUUAUGAAAGCUCGCACUCGAGGAUGAGCCUGCGGCCCAUCAGGUAGUUGGUGGGGUAAUGGCCUACCAAGCCCGAGACGGGUAGCUGGUCUGAGAGGAUGAGCAGCCACACUGGAACUGAGACACGGUCCAGACUCCUACGGGAGGCAGCAGUGGGGAAUCUUGCGCAAUGGGCGAAAGCCUGACGCAGCGACGCCGCGUGAGCGAUGAAGGCCCUCGGGUUGUAAAGCUCUGUGGGGAGGGAAGAAUAAGGUUCGGCUAAUACCCGAGCUGAUGACGGUACCUCCUUAGCAAGCACCGGCUAACUCUGUGCCAGC
rnacentral:rRNA from 1 species